rnacentral:rRNA from 1 species
GUGGAUUAGAUACCCUGGUAGUCCACGCCCUAAACGAUGUACACUAGUUGUUGUGAGGCUCGACCUUGCAGUAAUGCAGUUAACACAUUAAGUGUACCGCCUGGGGAGUACGGUCGCAAGAUUAAAACUCAAAGGAAUAGACGGGGACCCGCACAAGCGGUGGAGCAUGUGGUUUAAUUCGACGAUACACGAAGAACCUUACCUGGACUUGACAUAGUAAGAACUUUCUAGAGAUAGAUUGGUGUCUGCUUGCAGAAACUUAUAUACAGGUGCUGCACGGCCGUCGCCAACU